rnacentral:rRNA from 1 species
UACAGAGGGGGCGAGCGUUGUUCGGAAUUACUGGGCGUAAAGGGCGCGUAGGCGGCCCGCUAAGUCGAACGUGAAAUCCCCAGGCUCAACCUGGGAACUGCGUCCGAUACUGGCAGGCUUGAAUCCGGGAGAGGGAUGUGGAAUUCCAGGUGUAGCGGUGAAAUGCGUAGAGAUCGGGAGGAACACCCGUGGCGAAGGCGGCUCACUGGGCCGGUCCUGACGCUGAGACGCGAAGGCGUGGGGAGCGAACGGG